GGGCACCUUCUUCUAAUCUUUACAGAGAUGCCAAAUAAACCCACUGCCCCUGGCCCCCAGUCUGGGACUGUCCCCCAAUAGUCCUAUUUGGCACGGUCAUCUUUGCAGUCAGUCAGACGUGGGCUCCAAGUCCAGCGGCCUCCCUUGGCAACCGUGGAAUCCUGGGAAAGUGACUUCACUUCUCUGCAUCUGUUUCUUUUUUUUGAAGCAGUUGUGAUCCCUGUGUGUGAAUCCCAUGAGAAUUAAUUGAGAUCAUCCACACAGGGCUCCAGGCUUGCUGCUGGCACGUGGCAGUGGUAUUAACCACACACACAGUGCUUGUAUCAAACAUGAAGAUUAUUCUUGUGCUAGGUCCCUAGGGUGAGCCUUGUCUCUCAUGCGUUAACUUCAGCUGAGACCUCAGCCACGCAGCUACAACCUUAGCCUGGCCCUCCUCCUCCUCCUGGCUCCCCUGAGUAUUUAGUUGGUGGCAGAGGCCCUGGGUGACACAGCAGCAGAAGCAUGAGUCCUUGAUUUGAUCACCUUAGUGCCCAGGUCACUGUGUGUCAUCAUCCUGGGUAAUGUCUGCUGUUACCAUUUGUCUCUCUGGAGGAAGACUGGCACCUGAGGACCCUGGCGUAGAUGGUACUAGAAAGAAACAAAGUGACCAACUCCCAAAAGUCUGGGUUGUGCAUCCCAUGUGUGACAUCAGCAGCACCCAGAUACCAGGGUUCAUCUGAUCCCCAGAGCCCUGCUCUGGCUCACCGCUGUUUCCUACUCUCUCCACAGCUGCCACCAGAAUUGUGGCCACAAGAGCUCCCUGCACUUCCCUGGAGCCAUGUUUGUAACUCCUGAGCAGACUGGCAGCAGCCCCACCCAGGGCCCCAUGCUCUACCUGGAUGAUGACAUCCCUUGCUGGAAGUCGAGGAAGAGCCAGGGCUGUUCAUCUCCAACCUCAUCCUGUCCCUGGUGUUUGCCAGCCGGCUCUGCCCCACCAGCCAGGCCCUGCUGCUCUUCUGUCCCAAUACCAACAUCCAGGUGCUGCUGGACCUCAAGUACAACCUAAGCAUUGAGGGCAUCUCCUGCAUCACCUGUUCAGGUGAGGCGUUACCUGCCCCCUUGGGUGUCCAGGUCUC
rnacentral:lncRNA from 1 species